rnacentral:rRNA from 1 species
AGUGAACGCUGGCGGCAGGCCUAACACAUGCAAGUCGAGCGGCAGCGGGUCCUUCGGGAUGCCGGCGAGCGGCGGACGGGUGAGGAAUACAUCGGAAUCUGCCCUGUCGUGGGGGAUAACCUAGGGAAACUUAGGCUAAUACCGCAUACGACCUACGGGUGAAAGCGGGGGAUCGCAAGACCUCGCGCGACAGGAUGAGCCGAUGUCCGAUUAGCUAGUUGGCGGGGUAAAGGCCCACCAAGGCGACGAUCGGUAGCUGGUCUGAGAGGAUGAUCAGCCACACUGGGACUGAGAAACGGCCCAGACUCCUAAGGGAGGCAGCAGUGGGGAAUAUUGGACAAUGGGCGCAAGCCUGAUCCAGCCAUGCCGCGUGGGUGAAGAAGGCCUUCGGGUUGUAAAGCCCUUUUGUCCGGGAAGAAAUCGUCUGGGCUAAUACCCCGGGCGGAUGACGGUACCGGAAGAAUAAGCACCGGCUAACUUCGUG